rnacentral:lncRNA from 1 species
AUGGGUAAUUCACCUUGCCGCUGGGAUAGCGAGCAAGAUGAGACAUUUAUAUCUUUGGCAAUUAGAGAGCGAUAUUGCUAUACUAAAUAGCUAUAUGUCACAUUAGUUGAAACUAAGAUGAGACCUUUUCUGAGCUCGAUCAUAGAGUAUAUUCAUAACUCUAUGAAACUUGUAUAAAGUCAGACGUGAGUUUUUCAGGCAGGCA